ACGCCAAAGAGACCGAAUGAAGAUUGGGAUUCUUUGAACUCGAUGUCGCAGAAGAAGAGCUUACCAUAGGAUGAGGAGGAUUCGUCGGGGUUGUUGGUGAUGAAGGAAGAGGCCAGGAGAGAGAACUCGAGGUAGAGGUCUUGGAGGUGAAGCUCGUGCUUGUCAUGGAGCUGCUUGGCGUCGAAGAAGAUGAGGAGGGAGUAGGGGCGUGGAGUUUUGGUGGAGGUUAAGAAGCGAGAAACGGAGUGGUCAUCUAAGUGGAUUACGCCAUUUUUGGAUUGGGAUUGUUGAGAGAGGAGUUCGUUGACGAGCUCUUCUGGAUCAGAAGUGGAAGUGGCGAGAUACGCAAAGAGCGAGACGAGAGCUGUUAAGAG
rnacentral:lncRNA from 1 species